rnacentral:rRNA from 1 species
AUACGUAGGGGGCGAGCGUUAUCCGGAUUCAUUGGGCGUAAAGCGCGCGUAGGCGGCCCGGCAGGCCGGGGGUCGAAGCGGGGGGCUCAACCCCCCGAAGCCCCCGGAACCUCCGCGGCUUGGGUCCGGUAGGGGAGGGUGGAACACCCGGUGUAGCGGUGGAAUGCGCAGAUAUCGGGUGGAACACCGGUGGCGAAGGCGGCCCUCUGGGCCGAGACCGACGCUGAGGCGCGAAAGCUGGGGGAGCGAACAGGAUUAGAUACCCUGGUAGUCCCAGCCGUAAACGAUGGACGCUAGGUGUGGGGGGACGAUCCCCCCGUGCCGCAGCCAACGCAUUAAGCGUCCCGCCUGGGGAGUACGGCCGCAAGGCUAAAAACUCAAAGGAAUUGACGGGGGCCCGCACAAGCGGUGGAGCAUGUGGUUUAAUUCGAAGCAACGCGCAGAACCUUACCAACCCUUGACAUCCUGUGCUACACGGAGAGAUCCGUGGUUCCCUUGGGGGACCAGUGACAGGGUGCUGCAUGGCUGUCGUCAGCU